GAAAUGCGAUACGUGAUGUGAAUUGCAUACUCGUGAAUCAUCGAAUCUUUGAACGCAAAUGGCGCUCGCCCGCUUCGGUGUGGCGAGCAUGUCUGUUUGAGGGUCAGUUUUACCUGCUUUUCGAAAUUUGUCCAACCAAAUUCGAAAGACGAUGGGACUUCAGCAUGUUGCAUGUCUAACAAACGAACUUGUGCUGAUUUCCUGAAACGCAUUUUUUCCAAAAACAAAUUUCGGAAGGCUAAUUACAUUCCGAGGCUCCGACCUUUUUUAUACGAACGGGGCCGAUCGGGGGCUUCUCAACAAAGCCCUCGAGCGGAUAAAUACCAUCUCGAAACUUUUUAUCACUAAAACGAUUCAUGACCUCAAAUCAGGCAAGAGCACCCGCUGAACUUAAGC
rnacentral:misc_RNA from 1 species